UUUACGCACAGCCCCGGCCCGGCUCAGCAGACCGCUCGGGGAGGCGACGCUGGGCUGGCGGGCUGCCGGCUCCCCCCGCGCCCGGGGAGGUAACGCCACGCCGGAGCGGAGAGCAGCCUGCACCGAGCGCCCUUCAGCCCCCCCAUCGAUCUCACCGCCGCUGACUGGGAAAAACUACUGCAGAUGAACUGAAGCACGUGAAAGAAGCUGGGGAGACGACCUCCACACACCCAAAGAUAAGCACAAACCGCUACAGAAUCUGAACCACUGUUCCCACAGGGCUUUUAAAUAAACUCCAGGGAUCUGGAAAAGCAGAGUUAUCCGCCUAGAUUCUUUAUUGGACCUUUUCAGACCGCUGUCCAGCCACGGCCUGCUUGCUGAGGAGGGAUGAGCACUAAACUAGGUUCCCCCCAAAGCAUCUUGCUGCAUCAAGGAACAGAAGAGAAGGCCACGUCCAUCAGGCCCAGCCGCGCGAGAUCAAAGCGCUCGUUCGUGGGGUGCGGACCGUGCCACGGCAGGCGUGUGCAGCGCCCUGACAUUACGUUGUCAUGGAUAAAUCAUGGCAAAGAGCAAAUAUUCUUUUCAAUCACAGUGCGCUUCACAAAGGGCUUUUCUGAACGUAUUGUCUGCGCGCAGCCCUCCCGCCCCGUAAGCUUGCGCGGAAACAAUCCACCGCCGGGACAGCUCAUCGGGAAAGCAUUCACAUUGACUGGAAAUGAGAAGACUUAUCUCACAGCGGUCUCCCUUACAGUACUGAAAUUGCUUGCUAACGACAGCGUGCGCCGCUGAGCCGCUGCACUGAGACAUAAAUCACACGUGUGCCGGGAUAUUACAGCCGGGGCACGGCUCGACGCGGGCUCCGCUUCACCGGGUGCGCAAUAGCACACAACUAGUCCAAGCUCCCACCUUAUUUUCGAUGGUGAGCAAAGAAAAAUGGAGAUAUUCGCAGCAUUUCAGCAGUCUUAAGGCUGGUUUGUCACAUUCUGGGUUCCUGUGAAUACAACAUCACUAUCUGCUGCAGCCAGUAAAGGGAGAGGUGAGCUGGCACCUCACCCUCUUCUGCAGACCAUUGCUUAGCCCAGAAUUUGAAGUAGGUGCAAGAGGCCGAACGCUGCUCACCUGAAAGUCAGCAGGAAAGUUAAAGCCAACUUUGACAGAGACAAAUAGGUCUGUAAUGCUACUCUACAGGAACAAAAACUUUCUCCUAUGUGUUGUUCAAAACUUGGAGGAAUUUUGUAAGCUCAUCCUGACAUUGCUGUUAGAACAGUGGCAUCUUGCACAUAUUUUGUUAGCAGAGCAACAAAAGGGAUUUGUUUUACUUUAAAAACAAAAUUCAAACACAAUAAAAAACUCCUACAUACUAUUGCUAUGGUUAUCUGAGCUACCUCAGCAAGCCAGGAAAAAACGUACACUUUAGCUUAAAGGAGAAUUCUCCUAAAUUCUCAGAAAAUGUGCAAGGCGUUUGUAUGGCACUAUCCUACCCUUUAAAAAUUUGACCUGAUCAGACACUAGACUGCAAAUCAGCCCCUUCAUGGGAAACAGGAACAGAGUUGACAGAAUCUCCAUACUGGAAAAAGUGCAAAAAAGGAACACAUUGGAACAAGCUUAUGUCUCCCUGAACGAUACAGCUCUAACAUCCAUUCUUCACCUGAUUAGCUUCUUGUGUCAGGCACUAAAAUGUGAGAUGAAUACAGCGCUGAGGAGCUGACUCAGGGUCUGCCAGGUUUAAAGGCAUUUCUAAGAGACUUUGCCUGGGGAUGAGAUGAUGACGCCUGCCCUCUAUUAUCAAGAAAAGCAAUGGAACGAACGGCACCUUCAUGCAUGCCCCAAAAGAUGAAUCAAACCCAGUACCUUUUUAGAGGGAAAAAGAUCUUAAAAACAGAAAGUCGUUGUACUAUAGCUCGAGUUUGCAUCAAAGUAGCAUUGCACAAAAUCUCUGGACAAACAGCUAAGGGCUGAAAGAGAGAAAAGUUUCCAUUCUGUUGCCCGUGUGAAAUCCAACGCUUGUUGCCAUUCUUCUGUCAAAUCAUUUUGGAAGGAAAAUGACUCCUUUGCUCUACUACAUGAGGCUUUUAAGAAAACAUUUUGCAGUUAUUUUUAUUUUUUCUGAUGUAAAAUGUUUCUUUUUCAGGUUUUUCUUUACUACACAGCCCUCUCUCCCACCCUCACGACUUAGUGUCAGCGAAGACUGUAUCUUUUAACUAAGUUUUUUCGUAGAGUAAAAAUCCUGUAGAACUACCCAUUAGCUCCUGUUAUUGUGAAUUGUUUGGAGUUUCAUCUAAGCUUUUGUAUUUCCUGCGGCACUCAGAAGGGCUGGGCUGGGAAAUGCCUUUCUGGCGGCGAACGGGGUCCGCUGGAACCGGCCGCUCCCUUGGGUCAGCGGACAAUCGGAGGAACUGCUUCUCCCGGCCACUUCUGUCGCGUUUCAUCAGUUUGGGUUUUGCCGCGUCGGCGCUUCGGUCGCACUGCUUAACCCUCUCAGUGGCCCAGGCACCACGCGCCCUGCUCCUGCUGGAGCCCCUUGUCGAGGGCCUGAAAGACAAGCGAUGAUUUGGGAUGCCUCCACCUCAGGAAGUCAACUCAAAGCGCUACAGAAACCCACUUCAAGAUGGCAUCGAGCAGCAGAGCAAGGGACUUCCGCAAAGAGUCACCUGAUUUUGUUCUUCCCCGAGUACGGGACCAGCCCUAUCAUGCAGCUACGUUUUAAGGUUUUGAUCAAAAAGUUUCUUUUUAAAAUCGCUUAAAAGAAUAAGGAACAGCCAAAAAACACGAAAUGUUCUAUUACUGUAAAGCCUCGGCGGGGGCCCCGUUAGUACUCAAACUGGAAGAAAACGGCGUAAGAGGCGCUACGCACUGUAGCAAACUCCGAACACAACCGGAGAAGCAAAAUGACUCACAAGGGCCGGGCUGAGCACCAGCAUCCGUGGGCAGCGCCACGCCGCUCCGGGAGCCGGGAUGCCUGGACUGAACGGGCAGCCGCUGGGGCUGGAGCCGGGAGAAGGAGCGGGUGCUGAAACGGGAGCCCGAGGAGGGAGCGCUACCCUUCUACCUGCUUUGGCCAUGUCAGAAAGAAAAGUAAAAGCAGCUCUAAAGUAUUGGGGGGGACAGGAAA